UUUACGUGGUAGUAACGUUUCCAAGUGAAAAGCAUCGCUGGAAGGGCUUCAUGCCACGUUAGAUAAACGUCCUGCUCCCCAGCUUACUACCAAUUUUGCGAUUAAAGGGAGCUGCAAUGAUAAUGUUCGUGGCGAUUGAAGAGAUUAGAUCGUGACUGCUGAUAGUUGCAUACAUUU